GACGAACGCUGGCGGCGUGCCUAAUACAUGCAAGUCGAACGGAAAGGCCCUACUUUUGUGGGGUGGUCGAGUGGCGAACGGGUGAGUAACACGUGGGUAACCUGCCCUUGACUUUGGGAUAACUACAGGAAACUGGGGCAAAUACGGAAAAGGAGCUCUUGCUGAUUAGAGGGGGUUGGAAAGUUUCAGCGGUUGUGGAUGGGCUCGAGGUUUCUCAGCUUGUUGGUGGGGUGGUGGAUUACCAAUGCUGUGACGGGUAGCCGGCCUGAGAGGGUGACCAGGCCCAGUGGGACUGAGGUACGGCCCAUACUCCAACUUGCGGCAGAGGUGGGAAAUAUGGCGCAAUGGGCCGAAGUCUGAUGCAGCGAUUCCGCGUUCGUGAUGACGGCUUUCGGGUUAGAAACCGCGUUCGCCUGUGACGAAGCGUCUGUGACGGUAAUGUAUAAGAAAGCAACGGCUAACUACGUG
rnacentral:rRNA from 1 species